AAGUAGGAAGGAAAAUGCUUACGGAGCCCAUCUCCCCUUGUCCUCAAUCAGUUCUUUUCUGCCCCGUUUUACUCAAAGGUGUUUCAGCAGCAACACGAACAAAUAGACCAAGUGAUGCGUGUCGAAUGGCAGCCAUGAAAUUUGAAUACUCCUCUGGAGAGUUGUAGCCUUCCCGAUCGGACCGUCCCAUAUAAGAGACACGAAAGUACCUGAAUGGAACACAGUCAGGAAAUGAGACAGAGGAUCUCUUAACAUGAGAAGAGUACAGCACAUCCAAAGAUACUUUUCUGAAUAAAUUAUGGUUUGAUAGGAAACCCAGAAUCAGAUGUAAGCUGAGAGU